rnacentral:rRNA from 1 species
GUGGGGAGCAACAGGGGUUAGAUCCCUGGUAGUCCAGCCCGUAAGCGAUGUCUGCUUGGAGGUUGUGGCCUUGAGCCGUGGCUUUCGGAGCUAACGCGUUAAGUAGACCGCCUGGGGAGUACGGUCGCAAGAUUAAAACUCAAAUGAAUUGACGGGGGCCCGCACAAGCGGUGGAGCAUGUGGUUUAAUUCGAUGCAACGCGAAGAACCUUACCUACUCUUGACAUCUACAGAAGCCAGCGGAGACGCAGGUGUGCCUUCGGGAACUGUAAGACAGGUGCUGCAUGGCUGUCGUCAGCUCGUGUUGUGAAAUGUUGGGUUAAGUCCCGCAACGAGCGCAACCCUUAUCCUUGUUUGCCAGCACUUCGGGUGGGAACUCCAGGGAGACUGCCGGUGAUAAACCGGAGGAAGGUGGGGACGACGUCAAGUCAUCAUGGCCCUUACGAGUAGGGCUACACACGUGCUACAAUGGCGCAUACAGAGGGCGGCCAACUUGCGAAAGUGAGCGAAUCCCAAAAAGUGCGUCGUAGUCCGGAUUGGAGUCUGCAACUCGACUCCAUGAAGUCGGAAUCGCUAGUAAUCGUGGAUCAGAAUGCCACGGUGAAUACGUUCCCGGGCCUUGUACACACCGCCCGUCACACCAUGGGAGUGGGCUGCAAAAGAAGUGGGUAGUUUAACCUUCGGGAGGACGCUCACCACUUUGUGGUUCAUGACUGGGGUGAAGUAAUAGCAAGGUAACCG